ensembl:lncRNA
GUAAGUAGUUGAAAACCAUCUCUGUCUCACAUGCUCUGCUCUAGGACUCAUUUCUAUUCUUUGUUGUAUGCAUUAUUGCUUUUUGGAUGUUAGCAGGGACUGGGGAGGCAUAGCUGCAACUUGUCUUCAGAGUUCUAUAGGCAGGUGAGACCUCCAGGGACUACACCCUGAGAGCUGCUGCCUGACAUCCCUUUCUGGUGAGAUGAGAUAGAGGGACUAUGUGUAGAGAUAGCAUCCAUCUCAGCUUCCUUGGUCUGCUUCAAUGCCAUAAGCUAUGCUAAAUAAACUGCAGGUGAUCCAAGAAGCUCUACUCAAGCUUCACUGAGCAACGAUGACAUCCUGGCAUGCAAAGCUGGUCUUUGCUUGCAGUGGAAACAGUUCUCAUGAUUGUGCAAAAUCUUGUGUUUGGUGGAUAUAAUGAUAAUGAACUAAUUUGUGUCAACAGAUUUCUUUAUGACCUUGUUGUUUUUCCCUUUUCUUUUGCCCACCUUGUGCUUUCUUAAUUUGUAUGGAGGCAGGGGAGAGAAAUCCUAUUGAUAAGCACUUUGUCUGUAGAGCCAGGGCUCCAGUUAAGGCUAACAAACUCUAUGUUGCUCUGCCUGGGGACAAGAAUUCCCCAUGUGAAAAGCCUAACAUGAGAGAGUGGUUCUCUGGAGCUUAAUGGGAUGCAGUGCAUGUAUGAAGUCACUGAUGAACAUCAAUGUUUUCAGAAGCAAUUUUCAACAAGGAUCCAUCUUUUUGAAGGCAUACAAAAUGGAUUUCUCCUUUUUUAUUGCUUUUGAAUAUCCUACUGCAAGGCUGCUGCUCUUCAGUUGUGGAUGUAUGCUUGAGUUUAGAGUCAUUUUACUCCUCUUGAUCCUUCUCAUUCACAAGGACUCUGCCUAUUCAGGUGUGCCUCGGGUAAGCGAUGCUGAACAGCUGUGGUAAUCAUAUUAUGAGGCUGUGUUUUAACCUUUCUUUUAGCUCUUGUGUGCUGUGAGAAUUACAGCAAACUGGGCUGCGAUAGAAACGCUGCAAAAUGGAAGUUGAGAGGAGAACUUCUUCAGUAAAAGGAAAAGGGUAGGGGAAGGGUUGCAGGAGAGAAGGAGAUUUGAACAAAAUCUCCAGAUUCAGCCUCUAAAGAGGAGGGGUAGUGGAAGCUAAUGCAGUGAAAUGAGCUGUAACAAAGCCAUGCCAGGAAUUAUUCAGCUGUUCACAAGAAUUUUAGAAGAACUGUAAUUGGGAAAUGAUGUGAAUAUCAAACAAAAUGUCACUUGCUGGAAGCCUCACAAGGAGGGGGAAAUAAAAUGAUGAAAGUGCUGCAUUACAUGUCACCCUCUUAGGCACGCUCUGAAAGAGUUCCCUGCUCCCCACUUAGACCCUUUGACAUGCUAUUGUGUGGCUUUGUGUACUUCUGAGCGGGGUGGUUCUCUGCAGAAGAAAUUAAAAUGACGGGAAAGCUGGCUUGUCACAUUAAAUAACAUCACAUGCUUUUCUGCUGGGGAGAAAAACAGAAAGAAAUACUCUGCUGAGUUCCAGGAAAAUAGCUGCUGAGGAAAUGAGUGUGGCAACUCCGUCCCCUCACCUGGAAAGUAACAGUUGUGCCAGUAUGGGGAAGCACUGGCAGGGCUCAUGGCAGACCCGAGUUUCUGCUGUUUGCUGCAGACUUGAUGUCCACAUCACAGAUCUCUCUGGCUGUCCAUAAUGACCUUCCAGCCUAAAUGCUGGUUUUCUAUUUUACUUUCUUAACAUUUGAAGUGCAUUUCUAAAUACUGGGAAGAUUUGCCACCAGCAUUUCCUGCUUUUGUUUAUUGAUUUCUUCUUUUUCUCCAAAUUCCCUGCCUGUCCUUCUUUGGAAACAUGUCCUCUUGGAAGCACCAUCACGGCUGGAUUGCACCGUGAGGUCCCCAUGGUGUUCUCUUUGGCACUCACAGUAGUGUUUCCAUUUGGAUGACCUAUGUGUUCUUGGUCUCUUUGAUUUAGUGCAACCCUUUGUGCAGAAACACGGAGAAACAUCCCUCUACACAUAGAAAUGGAAUCAUUAAGGCUGGGAAGGACCACUAAGAUCAUCUAGUCCCACCAUCCACCUACCACCAAUAUUGCCCACUAAACCUUGUACCUAUGUACCACAUCCACAUGCUUCUUGAACACCUCCAGGGAUGGUGACUCUACCACCUCCCUGGGCAGCCUGUUCCAGUACCUCAUCACUCUUUCUGAGAAGAAAUUUUUCCAAACUAUCCAAUUUGAACCACACAUUGUGCAAUUUACAGCCAUCCCUUCUUGUCUUGUCUCAUGGAGACCAGGGCAGUCACUGAGCCCUGAGUUUGGGAAGAGGAGGAGGCAUUGGCCAGAUCUGCUCUGAGCUUUACCCAAGUGAAAGGAGAAGAUGAAAAGGUGGGGGAGAAGGGAGAAGGUGAGAACUCUGUGGAGGAGGUCACAAGGUCUGUGACUGAGAAGUCAUGAAAAGCGCUCCUAUUUUAGUUAGGAUUUCUCAGUGGUCUCUCUCUCAUAUCUGCAGUCACCAGGAUCUUAGAGGGUAAUAUGGCUUUCCUUUGGCUUUGGUGCUGGGGCUCUAUUGGGGAAAAGGUAUCUCAAUACAGUGCUGUAAAAAAGUGAGUUAUCAGAAAUAUAUAUAAAAAAUCAUAGUGACAAUCCAAACACUGUUACACACCCAUCAUGUUUAGGUGAUUUUUUAGGAAACUCUUCUGGCAAACAAUUUUAAGAGCUGGAAUAGGCAUUCCUAUCUUUCUCUAUAAACCACUUCGAAUAUUUACCAAUUUAUUUCUUAAGAUAAUGCUUCUAAAGAGCAAAACACUCAAAGCCCUCUUGCAUUUUUGCCUCACCUGCAUGUCUUCCCAUGUAGACCUGGGAGACACUUGCUAGCUUUAAAAGAAGGAAAAAGUAAAGAAAAGCACUAUCUUGCAGUGAGCUGUAGAGCCUGAGGCCUCAAAGUAAGAUUUUAAGAUUUCACUCUGGUUUCUCCUAAUCUGUCUUUGAAUGUGUUUUUCUGUUUGUUUUCUAUCUAUCUAUAUUUAACAUUUUGUUGCUAUUUCCAGUUAGAGAAGUGUUGUGUCUGAACAGGGACACAGUUACCACAAAACAUGUGCGCAAGCACAGGACUGUGAGUGGACACAGCUCUGUACUUGGCUGCUGGUGUUGGUUUAUGUAGCAGCAGGGGUACAUAUAUAACCUCAAAGCAGGUGUGGUGGAGCAUUCUGCAUGGUUAAACCCAAGCUGUAAUUCCCAGCUGAAGUAUCAGAGGGGAGGUGGUCAGAAGGAGAUGGAGUAGCUCUGGGAAGUGAAUUGGUCUGUCAUUACAUCAAAGGAGGGUCAGACUGGGGAUUAGGAAAAGGUUCUUCACCAGAGGGUGGUCAGGCAUGGAACAGGCUCUCCAGAGCAAUGGGCAUGGCACCAAGCUGCCGGAGUUCAGGAAGUGUCUAGACAACAAUUUCAGACAUAAGGAUUGUUUGGGUGGUGAGACACUGGAACAGGUUGCCCAGCGAGGUUGUGGAUGUCCUCUUCCUGGAAGCAUUCAAGGCCAGGCUGGAUGGGACUUUGAGCAACGUGGUCUAGUGCAAGAUGUCACUGCUUAUAGAAGGGUGGUUGGAACUAGAUGAUCCUAAAGGUCCCUUCCAUCCCAAACCAUUCUAUGGUUCUUGGUUGGCCCUGUGAGGAGCCAAGAGUUGAACUCAGUGAUCCCUAAGGGUCCCUUCCAUUUUGAGAUGUUCUGUGCUUAGCGUGGAUAUUUGGAUCCCAAAAAGGGAUGCCCAGUCUAAGGGUGCUGAAGAGUAAUUUUGCAUGUAAAAGACCCGAAGAAAUAGUUUAUUCAGGGAAUAAGCACAAGCUGGUAGAAAAAAAAAAAGAACAUGCGGUAUGUGGUGCUGGUCAGCAUUAGCAGACAGCCUCAACUUCCUCAACUUGAGGAAGCUGCAGCCAGCAAGGAGCAGCAAGGCCAAUGGUCUCUCACUUUGCUUAUGUCACGCGUUGUUUAUCAAGGAAUGCAAAGCAGUGGUGCUAGAUCUUCAUGUUAUGACUCACUAACAUACACUCCAGCAGACCUUCACCCAGAAUCUUUGCCUGGGUAGUGCCCAUUUUCCCAUCCAUUAAAUUUUUUCUGUGGUUUUUUUUUUUUUUUAUUUUUUAUUUUUAUUUUUUUUUUAUUGCAGUGGUUGAUCCCUGUGGCUGAGAGCAAACCGUCAGGAUUUCAGGUGGCAUCUCACAUGCUCAUGGAGCUGGGCACCUGGCAGAUGGCAGAACAGUGUUCAGCUGCCCCAGUGUAGCAAGGCGAGUGCUGACCUGUGAAGCACGUUCAGUAUUCUGCAGUGGGGGAAUUUUCAUGCAGUCAAACCUAUAAACUCAGUGGGCCAGGCUGCUGUAAAUAUUUUUAAUCCAGGUCCACACAGUUAGCUUCACAGGUCCAGUGUCUGAUCAGAAGUACAAACUAUUCCAAGGAACCAUCUUCGCAAAUAGGCUUAUGUAUAAUCAAUAGCUUGGUGCAUGUGCGUGCACAAAUACUCAUUUAGUUAUUCUGGUCUGUGAAUGCAUGCAUUAACCUGACCGCCUGGUGCUACCCCAGCCUCCCUCCCCUCUCUGCAAACAGGAAAACGGAAUGCAUUCAUUGAUUUCGCUGCUUUGAUUUAUUUGCCUGGCUCUAAUCUCUGUGCAAGAUAAGACUGCUGAGAAUUGUCAAAUUGCAUGCUUUGGAGAAUUGAAGAGGCCAUUUCCUCUCUAUUUCCUACAUUAUAAGAUAAUGUGAGAUACAUGGUAGCAUCCUCCGCCUCCCCACAAAGCAUCAGUUAAUGGAUCUAGCUUUUAGUGUCACUGCUUUGUGCCAGUACGCACCAUCAUUUAUGCCCUGAGAAACUAAAUAGGUAUUUAUCACUGGUGGAAGACAAUUGAACUUCAAGUAAACAGAACGAAAUACCUACCGGCCCAUUUUCUUGGGAAAGUCUGUCCCUGAGUUAGUAAAAACACUAACUGUUUCUGGUGUUGGAGGCUUGUUUAAUUAGCAUUUUGGGUUCUGUAUCGUGUGGGCUGCUGCUUUUGGUGGGUUACUGCUUUCUAUCCCCUCCCCACCCUUCGUCCAAUACUGCCUCUCAGUGUUGUACGUCAUCUGGUGUUGAAGGGGGUCCCAGCUAUCAAGUACUACAGGAGCUGUUGGUUAAGCAGCAGCUGACUUUCAUGCAAAGAAGGGCUUAUUUUUAUUUCAGGGGAGGGGAAGGGACUUGUAUCACUGCCAGCUGUGGGCAAGCACUGAUCCAGCCAUUUGCUGCGGCUGGGUGGCUCUCCCAUGUCAUGGCACAACCAGACCGCCCCCAGGCCGGAGCUGUGAAGAAUAGCCUGUGGGGAAGGAGAUUUGGUGUCAGCAAAGAGGAGGGGAAGAAUAGAUAGAAACGUGCUCAGGGAGAGAGAGAGCCAGAAGGGAAAGUCGCGGGUAGGGGAGGUCUUCCAUACUCUCCUAUGAGUCCACCUAGAGAGUUAAUGGGAUGGUCUGUGUAGCCAUGCACCCAAGGGAAGAGACCUGCUGUGCUGAAACGGUGGGGAAAAAGGAUGAGGAUGCUGAAAUACCCACAGGACCUUCUGCUUUAUCUCAUGGCUGAUGAACUGCACAGAGUUUGGGCAAACUUUGGGGUUUUGUACUCUAUUGACAUCACUCCUUGGAGGAGAGCACCUCCUCACAGAUAAAGGCUAAGCUGCGGGGAGUUGGGGCAUUUCUCUGUCAAAAGUCUGUCCUGGGUACUUCCCAUCAACCCCAGGGUCGCAUCAACAGCACUGAAGUUGCUAGGUUUGGGUUUGUUAGGGAAAAAAUCCCAACAAAUUAAAGCAGAUCCAAUGUCUCCUUGCCAGCACUUGCUGCAUUUGGCCUUGGUGAAUUAAUUUGAAAAGUAGUGAUGUGUAAUGGUAUGUGACACGUUCUCAUAUCCUUGGGACAGCUGCGUGCACUGGAGAAAUGCAGCUUCCUUCUGAACACAGCGAGAAAGAAGGGGAAAAAGAGAGGGGGGACUGUUACGAACAGCAUUAACAUAGCUUGGGGAUGAGAUCAUCCUCUCCUGUGCACCUGGGAGCUGGGAGGGUUCGUUAAAAAAACUGUUUAGUCAUUUCAGUGAGGUGGAAGAGCACUGCUCUCUUCUGGUAAUGGGUUUGGAGGAGGAGGAGGCAGCAGUGCUGCUAGUCAGGGGCAGCUUGCAGCCCCUGGCAUGCUGCCCAGGAGGUGCAGGUUCCGAUAUAAAUCCUUCCUUAAGUGCCUUCCUGCUUUGUAAAUGCUUCAUUUAAGACAAAACCUGCAAAAUUCCCACACAGCUGACGUUCUAGCCUCCUGGCCUUCCCUGUAUGACUUCUCAGUGAUUUCUAAUGCUGGCUAAAUGACAGGUUCCACCUGCAGCUGGGGACCAGCACCAACAACCAUCACCUGGACUUACCUAAGGAAGGAAUGUGUUCGGUGCACAAAGUAACCCCUGCGUUUCCCUGUAAUUGCAGCAACUGUGUGUUGGACAGAUGGCCAACCCCCAGCAUCAUGUCAGGGGAGUUCUGCUUAGUUUUCUGUGCACCCAGCUUUAAUUACAGCUCUUCCAGACAUAUUUAUUCUAAGUUAACUGCGAUGAUUCUGGAGCUGCAUCAGAAUAAGAUGCUCCUUCCCAGCAGCACCUUCUGCUCGCUUCCCCUAGCUGGGAAUGCCUUCCUGAUGCUCCUCAGGCAGACUUAGCUUGAUGUUUUACUCCCAUCUAGUGCUUCUUUAUUAAAACUGCUGGUGCUCUGCGUCUCGCACAGGGCUGAGCAAAUGCUAUCUUGUCUCUAACCUGGUGGUGUCUGCUCAGGAUACAUAAACUCUGUUAAACACGAGUGACUCGCAGCCUGCCCUGCCAGGACUGAGCAUCUCACGGCCCGACAGGGCAGGUCAUGAGCCUCACUGGCAGCUGGGGGUCAGCACUGCCCCAGCUGCGUGCCAAGGGAUUGCCGGAGAGGGUUAGACCUCCUUUCCCCAUCGUUUCUUCUAGAGAUGAGGAAGCAAACCUUCCCCAGCCACUGAGCAUUUGAAUGCGUGGGCACCACUGGACGAAGUGAAUAUUGUCACUGAGGAAGGCUUUGGACUGUGGGACCAGGUCCCAUUGAUUUAGAAUGAAAGUAAGUGUCUUAAGUGUGUCAAAUACUCAGAAACCACAGGCACUUCCGGGAGUCUUAUUCCCUGUCUUUCCUUUUCCUUUCAUGCUGUUUUGGUACCAAGGUGCUUUUUCUUUUUCCUUUUUUUAAAUUGACUUUUUUAUGUCUUUCUGUUCCUUCUAAUCAAAAUUCUAACUGAGCCUUCUCUUUGAACUAAUUUAUAUGAUGAAUGUUUUAGGAGUGUGAUGAGGAAAUACGGAUAAUCUUAGGCUUGUGAUUGAAUAUUUACAGGCAUAAUACAGGCUUCAAGCCAUCUCUAAGUGUUUGGCAGCCCAUGCCUGACCGAGGAAAUAAGCACUCAGGUAAGAUGACCAACUCUCAUUAAAAUUUAGUGAAGGUCAUUAGUUUGCUCUUACUUAGUGAAUUUUCCCUGGGUGACAUAUUGCCCAACGGGGUAUGAUAGCAUAAAUAUGGAAUUUUAGUAUGUGUUUUUUGAAGAUGAGCAAAGCAGGCAGAUGGGCAACUGGGGCCUUAACAUCACUAUAGCUAUCUCUCUUGAUUAAACUGUUAGCACAUUAAUUAAAAUUACUCUAGGGAGCACGUGCAUGGGGUGGGAAAACUGGCAAUCAUGCCAGACCACAGGUGGAGGUGCUGAGUUCUGGGCAGAGCAGCUUUAGGUAGGUAAGCACUCAUCUGGUGGGUUCCUGCACCAUUGAGUCAGUGGCACCUCUCCCCACUCUGCCCUUGCCAGCAUUACCUUUUAUCUGCAGCAAGGCUUUGUGGGCUAGGCUGAGUAAUGAGAUAGGUAAUGUGAUGUCCCCACAUUUCUUUAACAUCUCUUCCCAUGGUCACUGACAAACCUUUUUGCUUUUUCUAUUGUUGAGGUUUCAUUAUGAUGAACAUAAACAGUUCCCCAUUUUAUACCCACCACUGAACCUCCCUGAGACAUUCUGCUUUUUAUCCUAAGUUUCUGCAGUCUUUCUAUCCCCUCUGCUGCUCACAUGACCACAUAUUCCAGCUUGGAUUGAAACAACCUCUGUGCUUUUUGCUCAGCUGAUGUUUCCUGCCCAAGGUCCUGGUUUCUGCUUGGUGCUUUGGCCACUUGUGGCACAUCAAAGACCCCUUCUGCUACCAAAAAUUCAAACUCCUGCCUCUGUGUGCUGCCACUGCACUUCCUUAGUUUUAUUCCGCUGCUUCUUCAUGAGUAAUCAAAACCCUUUCCUUAAAUGCUCAGUGUUUUUUUGUUUUUUCUCUGCAUCCUUCCUUAUUUCCCAUUCCUUUCAUCUUCCAAUGGGGUGCAAUCUGCCCUGUUUUUUUCUCCCCUUAGUUCAAACCCCAGUGAAUAUCUAGGCAGAGCUGUUCUCCUCUCUCCACAGUUAGAUGUGGCUUGCUUUCUUCUUCUUUUAUACUUCUUUCCCUCUCUUCACAGUCAGUUUAACCACAGACGUGAAACCUCCACCGUAUUCCAUUUAGGAGCAGAGACCGUAUUGCCUGAAACCACUGCAAACCUAUAAAGUUCUGUGUUUGUUUAGCAGGAACAAAGAUUAUUUUUGCAAGAAGGUGAUGAAACAGCAAAGUUAGAGUUCUUCCAGCAGCAGAAAAUGCACAAAGGCAGGCAAUGUUUAUAGGCAGAUAAAUAUCAAAUGUAAUGCACUGAUUAAUAUUCCAGCAGGAUGGACUUUUAUGAACUGGCAUGUCAUUCUGUAGGUUUUAUUUUUAACAGAUGGGAAAGAAAAACAACAUUUGGUCUAGAGCCUCUGUCUGUCUGAAUGAGGUUUUGCUCAUUUGGGGGGCUGCAGCUAUUCUAAACAUGGCAACCUGAUUUAAUUAGCUGACCAGGAUCCUGCUUCAUCAGGGUUUUUUUUUGUGUGUGGAUAAAUGCACUCUAGCAAAACUGACAGUACUCAGAGCUCCAGACUGCUCCCGCCAAGUUUCCAUCUGAAAUGUGCAAACAAAAUAGCUGAUGAAAUAAUAGACAUGCUCACGCUGGAAACCUUUCUCUUUCCUUUUUCAGGGAAAUUGAAUAUCUAUUGAUUUAUCAUUUCUACCAGAUGGGGAUCACAGCAGUAGUUCCUCUGUGUUUUCACAAGCAGUGUCUUUCACAGAGUUUGCUUUGGUUGACAAGUUAUUUUCCUUCUGAUUUGAGUCUGCCUCUAAUGUGUGCUUUUGGGGUAUUGAUUUCACCAGCAGACAAGCUCUGAUUAUGGCUGUUGCAAGGCUGCCAAGGCCCUGCGAUGUGCAGAAGUCUCUUUGAGUUUCUUCUUCCUGAAAGGCCUAGGCUUCUUAGGGCUAGGAUGAAAAGCAUGAGACCCAUUAAGCAAAGAAGCCAAUCCUGAUGCCUAGGAGGGGUUGCAAAGGCAGUUGGAAUAAAAAGUGAUGCCAAGUCCUUUGUGCAUCUUUGUAUGUGGCACAGGUGCCACAUUGACGCAAAAUGUUUGGAGACUGUCUCCCCGAGAAAGUCUGUUGUCUUAAAUGCAAGUUCCAAUUAUAGUACAAACCCAGCAUUAGGGGCUUUUUGUUUUCAAGUGUGUUGUGCUGAGCUAGGCUUAUCAUCAAGAAGACAAGGGAAUUAACCUUGGUUUAUUAAUUUUAUGUAGACAUUAAUAGUUGCAGCAUCAGCAUUUCCUUGAUUUAGCCACGCGGGUACCACACACAGUAUAGAACUGAAGGAAUGCCAUCUGGGAAUUGAGAGCUGCCCAGUUUUUCAGUCUGCCUUCCCAAGGUUAUAUGACAUCAGUCUCUGAUCAACUGCCCUUUCUGUUGGCUAGUUUCCACCUCAAAUGAAAGGGACAUAAGUCCUGGAAAAGUAAAUUCCCCACCGAAACCCUAGAGGGAACCAAUGAGAAAAACAGAAGAAGGUGUCAGGUCUCACUGAAUCUCCUUGUCAGCAACUGGCAGGACCUCGGGGUGUAUGUUGGCUUACCAACCUGCUUAUGAAUAUUUCCAGAUUGGCUACCACACAUAUUGCUCCUUCCUGGUGUUGUCAAAGACAAAUGAGAGCAGGCAGUAGGAGUUACUGCACGUAGGAGAAGACAUUUUAUGGGAUAUCUGACACAUCCAAGGGAAAAAAAAAAAAACACAACCAUUUUUGCUGCCCAGGAAACUGUUUGGAUACUUAGCUGGUCUGGCUUGUUUUGUUUUGUUUUUCCCUCAGAAAAAGUCUGAAUUGUACUGCUUCUUUAUUCCACCAUUCUUUCCCCCUGCAUAUUUCAACUAGCUCCCCUCUGCCAUGAAGUGUUCGUGACAGAGAAAGUAAGCCAGCUGACUGAUGGCUGAGGAAGAGGUUUUCUGCAGGUUAUGGGGCCAUGUGAAGGUGAUGACAGUUACAACAGCGCUGAACUGGCAUAGAAGAUCACAGCAGACCCUGGGCUAUGUAGUUGCUCAAUCUAGUAAUUUAAAUUGCCACCUUGCUUCCCACUGUUGCAGUUUUUCAGUGUUCUUGAAAAUUAUCAUUGCAUGUAUUUACAUAUAUUUACACAUAUACAUAGGUUUAUGCCUUGCUCCCUGAACAGGAAGGUUAUUGCUUGGUCUCAUGUUUUUGACAGCAAGUGCAUCUGGAAUCCACUUCCAGCUUCUGCACGUAGGUGAUUUCCUUCUAGUAGGACACCGUGUAAUCCACACCUGGUGCAAGGGCAGAGCUACUCCACAGCUCCAGAGUACAAAAUCCUCCCUGUCCAGAUCAGCUUCUCGGAGGCUGAGGGGCCAUGUGUGUUCUAGUACUCUUCUGUUCAACCGAAGUCCUCAUUUUCUGUCUUUUUAGAAACCUGAAAAUCCUUUACCUUAGGAUGAGAAGUCUGCUUUGGUCUCAAGCCGUCUCCCAGAGUUAGAGCAGAGCAAUACAGUAUAACUGAAGCUUCGUCUUUUGUGUGCAUAGCAAUGUGGAGUUUAAUUAAAAAUCUCACUUUCUGUUAUUUUUACUGCAGAUGACUGCUUCAGUGGGUGCCCAAGAAAACAGCAGGAUAAACUAACAAAAUGAAGGAGGGCUGUAUAGUGAAAGUGUUUGUUGUCUGGAGGACUCUGGCUUCGCUUGCUGAAGAAGGCUGAAAAUGCAUAAUGAAUGAGACAGGAUACUCCAGAAAGCCAUAAAAUGGUCUCAGAGGGCAUGUUUGAUACCUCUGUGGGGAGCUAGGUUCUGUAUCUUGCUCAGCCACAGGCUUGGUUCCUAUCCCUUGAACAGAAAAGUUUACCAUACCAUGCAUGCUUCUCAGCUUCUCAUUUUUUGUAUGUGCAAGGCACGGCAGAUGGGACUAUUUUUUUAGAGAGGUGUUACCUGCAGAUGAAGUGACCGCAGCUUUGCCUAUGGAAUGAGAUAUAAAAAAGCUCAGAGUUCUAUAAAAUGAACCAGGAUCUAAGCCUGGGUAUUAAAAAUUCAUAGAUGUUUUUCAUAGGUCUAUACUGAAAUUUCCUCCGUGUUGGUACUUUGUGUGCAACAUGAGGGCAGUAAUUCCUAAGUGUCUUAGCCAAACUGUAGAGGAAUCCUUAAUAUUUUGGAGGUACAAGAUGUUGCAGUGGAAAUAUUUGUGAGGAAAACACAAAUUUUAUGCUCGAGGAAGCAAGAUUUGGAAGGCAUGAGGUAAAUAAGGAUAAGUAAUGUGUAUUAUAGCAGCAUGCUAAAAAUAAACAGAAAUAUUUAGCCAUUCACUGAGGAAGACAAGGACGUUGUAUAAAAAUAUAGUCUACAAUCAUGUAAUUAAAGCCUGCAUUGUAAUUUGAAGAAGCUGAAGUAAAGGAGCUGUGUGGGUGGCUUUAGCUCUGUUGUCUUUGUCACUGAGUUUCUGCUUUAAUAGGUAGCUUUUCAGAUGUUGUUGGAUAUGUGACAGCGUGGUAAUAACUUCCACAACACAAGUUUAACAGUGCUCUGAAAGCAAAUAUCUUGCUUUGAAACAGGUACAUUUCACUGGACAAAAUCCUCUCUUUCAUCUCAGUGCUCCUCUAUUCUCUUCACUCCCUUCUUUGGAGAAAAGAAGGCUCCAGGGAGACCUCAUUGUGGCCUUCCAAUAUUUGAAGGGAGCCUACAAACAAGAGGGGGUAUGUCUGUUUACAAAGGUGGAUAGUCAUAGGACAAGGGGGUUUUAGAGUCUCAGUUUUAAACUGAGAUGGGGGAGGUUUAGCUUAGAUAUUAGGAGAAAGUUUUUCACUCAGAGGAUGGUGACGCACUGGAACAGGUUGUCCAAGGAGGUUGUGGAUGCCCCAUCCCUGAAGGCACUAAAGGCCAGGCUAGUGGUCUGGUAGACCCUGCACAUAGCAGGGGGUUGAAACUAGAUGAUCUUUGAGGUCCUUUUCAACCUAGGCCAUUCUAUGAUUCUCCUGUUGCCACCUCCAUGGGACACCACGCGAGGGCCAGCAGCCUUUGGUUGGCCACAGGUCCUUCUGACACCUGUGACCAGGCAUUGGAGGUUCCCUGCCUCAUCUCUGUAUCUCACAGCUCCUGGAGUGGGCUGUGACAUAAAUUCCUUGCAGGGAGUACGGUGUGAUGAGGAAGCUGUGCUGGCCACCCCACUCAGCCCCACUGCCAUACCGUCUGUGGCAACAAUGGUGUGCGGUUGCAGGAGGCAGUGAUGCUGAAUGCAGGAAACCUGACGACGGUAUAUUUUACAGCAUGGCAGCUGUAACGCAGGAUCGUAAGAAACGUUUGCAUUUUGAAAUGCUUUAUCUUCCAUUUAAGGGAUAGUGUUUCUGGCAGGGAAAGAAUAUAUAAGGGUAUUAAAUGGCUUUCUUUGCAGGCAAUUAAACAAGGAAGCCGAUCAAAGACAUUUAAAUAAUUGUAACAGAUGUUUAUUGCCUGAUGCAGUUUACUGCAUCCUAUUAUUUCUGUUACAUACAGGAGAGAAGAACACAUGGCAAACUGUACCGCAAAAGAAAUUCUUUACUGCCUUGUGAGGAACGUGGCUGCUUCUCUGCCUUCUUAAUUGUAUCAUGUUGAGAACAAGUCAGUAAUAAGUAGUGUUUGGAGGGCAGAGAAGUGGCUUACUGCCUGGAGGAGCAGCAGCAAGUGGUGUGCAAAGACAUGGGGUUGAUGGUAAACACCUUUGAGACAACAGACUGCUGUGGGAUUGCUUCAAGAGUGAUGCUCAGCUCACUCACAUUAGGAAUUUCAGUUCCUCCUGAAGUUAUGCAGUUAGUACUGAGAGGGACAUCCUGGCUCAGGACAAAAGUGUUGGUGGCACUGUAAUCCUCAGUGACAUCUGGGAAUGGCCUCAGGUGGGCAACUAGGCAUCAAUAAAAGGCAAGCAUGUGACAACUCCCCCAGAUACUCCUCAAACAUUUUUGUUGUAGGGCCAGAUGUGUUUUCUUUGUCGUUAAUAACAUAAUAACAUACUUUAGUACUGUGUGUUUAAUUCUAUGUAUUUAAAAACAGAUUUUUCUUGCCUUGAAUUUAAGUGUUCAGAAUAGCCUAUGUAGGACAGUAAGUACCCUAGAGGAACCCAUGAGCUUUUCAUCACCAAUUAAAAGAAAGGGAUGUUUGUUUCCCUAAACAAUAACAAAAAAUUCUAACAAUGAUACUCCUCCCAAUCCCAAAUCCCCAUACAAAAGCCUAUAAACAUUCAAAAUCUAGGCUAGUGUCCCUCCACUUGUUUUAUCCUUGGCUUUGACUAAAAUCUGAGGCUUUUUCAGCAAACAUCUCAUAUUUUCAAAUUCAGUAAUGACUUCAUACAUCCUACUAAUAGAAAAAAAGACUUAUUGCCAUCAUUUCAGAACACAACUGGAAUAUUCAAUAUUCCCCAUCUCCCUUCCUCCCUCUUGCUGAAAGAGGAAGACUUCAGGGAGACUCUUUCUCAGAAGGAAUAACAAUUAUUUGAUGUGUUAUUCUUCCUCUACAGAUCACACCUCUCAUCUGGGGCAGAUCUUUUCUCCUCCUUGUGUCCUGACAUCAUCAUAGGCAGCAAAGUCUGCAUUAAAGACAUGAACUAAUGACACAGGCACUGCACUCUAAGAGGUGGUUCCUUCAUGGGCAAUCCACAUUGAGGUGAUGCACAGCAGGGAAGGGAGCUGGCUCCAGCACCCAUCAGGAACUGCUGAAAGGUACUCUUGCUCCUGGGUUGUCAACACAAGAUUUAGUGUGAGUUCCUGAAAGUGUCUUAACAGGCAUAGAAAGCACUGAUUCCCUCAAGUCUGCAGAAACAUGAUGCACAGCAACCAUUAGCACUGGCUUACAUUGCAGAACAAAUUCUGUGGCAGGAUGAGCCAGGUGCUAUGAUAGCUAUGAAAUAGCUAUGAAAUAGCCAUGAUGCUAUUUCAUCUGAGUGAGAGAGGGAAUGAAUUUGGGUCCUGGGGAAGCAUAGAAAGUGGAUGUUAUGCAACUCCUGAAAGAAUCAAGAGCUGUGGCUGUAGCAACUGCCAAUAAAUAUACUCAAGUACUACUCUGCUGGGAAUAUCUACAUGAGGCAUGAAGUGUGCUUACACCAAAUUACCUGAGGACCGCAUGAUGUCAGUCACAAGGAAAACAAUGCUGUGGGUCUUGUAGAUGGUCCUCAGCCUUGCUAUGACAAGAAGGUGCUGAGUGUUUGAAUGGCUCCCAUCCACUGUGAUUGCAUGAAGACAGGUGGGUCUCUGGCCAUGCCUACUCUCAACCUGCAUGGCAUGUUGUCUGACACUGGUAAGGAGUAUCUAAAAUCUACAUGAGGCAAUCAACAUCAUUUUGUGGACAAUUUUACAUUUGAAAGCAUCUCUCUGGAGCUGUUUGUCUUCAAAACAGAGAGCCCAGGAGUGUUUAUUGCCUGUAGGCUUGGCCUGGGAGAAAAUGAAACCAGCUUGAUACUGGAGACUGGGAAAUGAUACCAUUGUAUCCUGUGAAGGCAAGAUGCAAGCUGGCAUCUCCCUGCUUCCUCUCAUCUGUAACUCCAGAAGAACUGUCUUGGACACUUUGGACUGUAAGUAAGAGUUUGUACCUUUGUCACUAGCUGUCAUAGAAUGAACAACACAACCUCUGACGAUUCAGUGGGACAAAACACAUGUCUUGGGAGCUGUUGCUUGGAGAAAAUAAAGCAACUUUUUUCUUUUCAGGGAACAGUAUCCCACUAGGACUUCCCAGAACACAAAUUAGUUUCGUCGUGCUAUAGUAUUUGCUCUUCAGUAUUACUAUCAGUCAGAAAAAUGCUGGGGUUCCUGUCACAUUGCUUUGUCACACUCACACUCAUAGUUUAAAUUGCUGUGAUAGAGAAUCAGGAGAAAGAGAGUCAUACUGAAUAUGACUUCUUCUAGUAUGAUCUUUAGGUUUACAUUAGAUACGUUAUGUUGUAUUUGUAAUUAGACAACUCAAUCCAAGCGACUUUCAUGUCAUUUUUCUUCAAAUGAUUCGUUAGCUGAAAAAUGAGGCUCCAUUCAGGCAAAGCUCUGUUGUGAAUUUGGGUCAAAUUUGGAAAAAAAUGAGGAUUAUUCAAAAGCCUAAAGCUGUUUCUUGUAUAUAUUUUUUUCUUCCAGAAAAUGUUUCAAUGCUUUCAGCUCAGAGCAGCAUUUGGAGACCAAGUUUUUCUUCUGGUAAAACAUAAACUACAGCACAGAAAUAGAAGUAAAACAUUUGUUUGCUCAGCUCUAGUAACGUGGUGCCGAGGCAUGCCCGCAGGUAUGCUUGUACUGUAAUUGCUGCAGCUGUUAUUCUGAAUUGAAUACUUUUCCUUGCUUGCUCCUCUUCCUCUUCAUGCACUGUAGUUUUAUAAAGCUCAAGUUGCUGAUGAUGUGCUGCACAGGAUGGUUUUGAUGUGUUGUCUGGGCAAGACUAUCUUUGACAGCUACCUUUUACUCGCUGGGAGAAACAGGUCUAGGACGUGAUUCCUGCUCCUUCUUGCUACUCUCUAAGUGUUGUUGCAGGUGAAAAGGAAACAUGCCUCGUACAUAAAGUCACUAAUUUAUUAGUAGCAUAAUAGAAAUAUCAAGUCUAAUCCAAGAAUUAUUAUUGAUGCAGAUCUGGUUAUAGAAAGAGGAGGAAUACUAUGAAGAAAAGUCUCGGUAAUAACAUGGUUCAGGUUGUUACGUGUUUAACAUCCUAGUUUCUACACCUUUUUUUUGUGCAAUGCUUACACUUCCAGUGGGCCCAUGUAACAUCAAAAUUUACUGUUAAUAUUGCCUUUUGUUUGUGCUAGCUACUAUGUCUCUAUUCUCUUCAUUAUAAAACUGGUUUUGUCCAGCUCCAGCCUUGCAUUUCUUUAAAUGAACACUGGUGGGUUUUUUAUAACCAUGGGAUCACCAAUGCCAGCCUGUGCUGCUUCUGUUACCAUCCUAGGUCUGUGCUGCUCCUCACCAUGUCCUGUGGCUCUGCCUCACAAGGUUCUCUAUAAUGUAUCAUUAUGUUAGAUUAAUAAAUAUCCCAUUCUUUAUAUAAUCACUGCUUGUUACUGCGGUCUAUAUAAAGUCAUGGUUGCAGCCUGUAAAGAUAAACAAAAGUAUAGUAAGCUAUCUAUAGCCUCCUUGUAAUCUGAAAAAAAAACUGCUAUUACAGAUGAACCAAGUAAAAUAAGCUGCAGGUGGGUCAUGAGAAGACCAGGCAUAGCCAGCCUGGAGAGCCUCUGUUGAGGCCUUGCAAGCUUGGUACAGAGUUUGUGGCUUGUUCCUAGCACUGGCAAUACUGAUUUCUUGUGCUCUCAUGAGCUUCCUUAUUUGUUUUGAUGAUGCUUCUGAGUUGCUCUGAUCUAAUGGCACUUGCCCUUUCCUGGUUCAGUAUUUCUUUCACAUUUUUUUUCUGUUACGUGGGGUCUGCAGGAUAAAUACCACUGGGUGGGAGAUGGGUAGGGAAAGGAGGAAGGUGAGCAAAGGAGAAUCAGUCCACCCCAGCAGUGGGAUGAGGAUCAUCAUCUCCACUUCUCAGCACAAACAGAUUUUACUAAACUUCCUGCAAAACUCUUAGCAACAACCUUUUUGUGUGUUAGAAGGCAAUAAUCAAAUCACUCUGGCCUUUUGCUGAAGCAGAACAAAUCCAUGGCUGUGUUCCCAGCUGUAAACAAAGGGAGCUCCUGGUGACUGUAGAUAGACCCCAGAAGAUCUCAGGCUCAUCUCCAUGAGGAACCUCUGCUGGAAGGGAGUUUAUAUCUCCAAACCUUUCACAGGAAGCCCACUGAAUAAAUUCAGUUAGUUAUUUGGACAGGAUCAGUGGUGAGAUGAGAGUCAUCUAGCUCUGACUUUAGAAGUGAAUUGGAAGUCAACACCUGCAUGAGAGCUGCAUUACAGCCAAAAAGAAAGAGGAUGAGAGAAAAGUGUUAAUGUAGGAGCAAAGAAGGUCACUGGGAAACCUGGCUGCACAUUCAGAGAGAGAUUUUCCUGUGUCCAGGGAGUCUAGAGCCAAUGGUGAGUAGAGCAAGUUGCCUGUAGCUGUUGCUUGUAUGUUUGGGAGAAGCAGAGCCUGAUUUCUGGGCCAUAUGGUGAGAGCUCCAGCUUGUUGAGCAUCUCUUUGGAGCAGGCUGUCUACCUGGGCACAUGCUACUUAGUGAAUUUUCCCCUUUAAGCUCAGUGAGCAUUAGCUCCCUGCCCUACAGAUACCCUUCCAUGUGCCUGGGAUGCUGACUGGGGUGGAGCCCCAGUGGGCACCAGAUGAUGACCUCUGAACUUGCACUGAUGGCUGUGUCCAUCACUGACGUUUUUCUUGGAACUCAUGGAAUCAUAGAAUGGCUUGGUUUGGAAGGGACAUCAAAGACCAUUCAGUUUCAACCCCCUGCCAUGGGCAGGGCGUCCACCCACCAGCUCAGGCUGCCCAGAGCCCCAUUCAACAUGGCCUUGAACAUCUCCACUGGUAGGGCAUCCACAGUUCUGGGUAGCCCAUUCCAGCACUUCACCUCCCUCUCAGUGAAAAACUUUCCCUUGACAUCUAAUCUAAAUCUCCCUGCCUUUAGUUUGAAAGCAUCCCCCCUCGUCCUAUCACUAUCUACCUGUGUAAAAAGUUGAUUUCACUCCUUUUGUAACCUCUGGAUGUGUGAGAGCAAAGAGAUUCUCUGAAACAACUCAAGAGGCUUCCUGUGGGCCUCGGUCUCUCUUGCACAACGCUCUUGUGGUAACAAGGGUACCAUUGCUAUGUGGUCAAAAAGUAUACUCGGGGAAGCAUUUAUCGCUCUUUGACUGUUCAGUAUUUGGUCCCUAGGAGAUACAAUUGAUAUACAGUGUGCUGUAUAUUUUAUUAGGUGAAAAAGUACCCACUGAGGCAUAGUAUCAUUUCCAAAGUUGACCUUGUGACAGCGGGCAAUGGCAGUGCACAUAAAAAUGAUAAAAGCCUUGCUAAAAUCUCUGGCUGCACAGGUUGAGGAGAGAGCUUGAAAACUGUUGAUAGAUGGGUUAGAUUCACAGAUAGACACAGGCUCAGAGGUAAAUUUUUUAAAAAGGGAAAUAUGGGUAAGAAAUGAAUCCGGACGAGCACAGAGAAAAUCAAGAGAAAGGCAAAUGCGGCAGAAGACUGGAGAAAGCUUUGUUUUCUUACUGAGAAAGCACACUUCAUGAGGAAUUAUGGCCAGACUGAGGUGUUGGCAUGCUGGUUUGAGCUGCAGAGGAGAAUGGGGAUGUAAACUACUAAAUAAAUGACAACAUGGAUCUCUCUGUUGCUGCAAAGUUCUCUCUGUGUCUUCACUUUACUUGGUUAUUUGUGGUGUGUGUUUGUAGUGAGUUUUCUAGCAACACAGUUAAAUUGUCACAUUGAUUUUUCUUUCUCACAUUUUUUUAGGCAAGAGUAUAGGUUUUUUUUGUUUUUGUUUCGUUGGUUUUUUGUUGUUGUUGUUUUUGUUUGUUUGUUUGUUUUUUAUUACUUAGAAAACUGUGAUCUUUAACAACCCAUUGGGUUUAGUAUUCCAUGGUACACAAGAGAUGCCCAAGCCAGAACUUGGAAACAAAACCUCUUCAAGUGCAGAGAUGUUGGGAGUCUGCACCUGAAUUUGCCAUUCAGGAUCAUUUCUAGUACCCAACAUAGAAAUAAAAUGUUGAAUAUUGGCUACUAGGGAGUAUAUAUAUAUCCCAGCUCAAGACAAGGAAUACCAUAAAUUGAUGAAAUCAGUGAUUGAUGUGAACAUCACUGAUGUAACAGAACUGUUUGUUUUUUGAGCUGUCAUUGCUGUGGGAGUACAAAAAUAAUACUUUCUGUGCAGCACUGUUUGUUUUUUCCUGCCCUACUCUGUCAAGACAGAGAUAUUAAAGGUGAUCAACUGAGAAAGGAGCUUGAAGCAGUCAAAAGAAGAGAACACAGAUUAAUGUUUCUGCUCAGAAGCUGGGGCUGAAGGGGGUGAGAUGUGUCUGUGACAAAACAUUGCCUUCAGUCACUCACCAUUAACAAAUGGGUUUGCUGACCAGAGUGUGUGAUUUCUCACCAGGGAAGUGUGGCUCAGGCAGGAAACUGAUGACUAAGAAUGUGAUAGCCUAAUUUCCAUGAGUUGUCUUUAGAGAUAUUGGGAUCUGCUAACUGCUUGGGAAACACAAGUUUAACCUUUACUUCCUCAGUCUGUAUAAUGUCCCUUAGAGAGUGCAGAGAGUAGCAGGAGAGAGGUGAUCCUCACUGAAUGUGGUUGUUUAUUAUCAGCUUUUGUUACCUUUCCACAUCUGGCUGUUCUCUACUAUGUCAUUGCUGGCAAUGAUAAGAUUCCUACACAGUCUUGGUUACCCUUCCAUACUCUAGUGGACUCUUGCUAAUCUAAAACGUAGUAUCUAUGCACUGUCAGUUAUGCUGUGCUGCUCAUCAUAUCUCCCCGUGGCUGUGCUAUGUGCUUGUUCAUCCCAGCUCUAGAAACUUCAUCUUGCAUUAUGUUCCUGCCUCAUUUUUUUACUUAUUUGCUCUGGGGAGUUGGAUAGCCAUACCCUCUUAUAAACAUGGGGAGUUUGCCAAUGUGUAGGACAUAUGCCAGUGUUUAGGGUCAACCUUGAUAUUGUCCUCUGCCACUAUGAAGCACAUGAUCUGAGGCCCCUCUGGGGAUCGCUAACUUUUGUGAGCAGUAAAAUGAUGAUGCAAAAGGGUGCAAGUGUGAAGGGUGGGAGGAUGGCAGAGGUGAGCAGAGAGAUUGCUGCUGCAGAAACUCAGGCCUUCCAGCCCUGCUGGCCAGGAGGCUGUUCCAGCUGCAGUGCAUGAAGUGGGAAUAAUGUUGGGUUUCUGCUGGCCAGGAAAAGGGAGGGGAAAAGUCUGGGAAUGGCAUAGCAGUCUGUCCCAGUUUGUCAGGAUAGCUAGAGUAAUGAUAUGAACCUAUGAAUAUUUACUUCCAACUAUUUAUAGAGCCAUACGUUAGAUGUUCUUUAUUGUUAUUUUAGUAGAAUUAAUGCUUAGAGGAUAUUCUCAAUGAAAAAUGUUCCCUAUGAGUGAGUCAAAUCAAAUAAAUACAUAUUCUCCUCACUAAAAAUAGCGAAAGCACAUUGCAUUUCCCUGCUAGGAUGACAUCAUUUCCAUGCAGGUACUGGCAAAAUAUCUCCAGUACAUACAGUGCUUUGAAAUGAAAAUUACUAUAAUAUGAGGUAUUUGAGUGCAACACAAAAAUGACUGUGAAGGCAGAAAAGAAACAUCUACGUUUGGACUUUUCUACUUCAACUUUGGAAUUACCUGGUUUAUACACAUCCAUACGAGUCAAAGCUGGUUCAAUGUAAUUAACAUUUCCACGCAUGUAUGCCAGAAAGAAAAUAAGAAAAUUAGAAAAUAAGAAUUUACAAUACUGAAAUGAAAGACAUCCCUUAAGAAAACAUAGGUUCAUUACUUGGUAUGGUUGGAAAUAAUUAACUGUUCAUUUAAUUAAAUGAAGUUAAAUGAAUACUCAUUAUGGAUAUGGAAAAGUGUUAGAUGAUCUAUUUGGAAGUCACAAUGAUACUGAUGAUUUUUUUCCCAUUUUGAAAACAAGGAAAAUGCUAGAAAGUGACAAAUAUCAUGGGAUAUCUUAACAUUUACAAGACCAAACAGCUCACGCUCAGUUUAGAGAAGUUAGGAAAGAUUAAACCAAGCAGAGCACAUCUUGAUUGUGAGCAAACUGUGAAGGACAUCUAAGAGGAGACUGUGUAUGUGUGUGCAUGUGAUGAUACCAUUUUUACUGUAGUAGCUUUGAAACCUCUAGCAAAGGAAGGCUGGUUUGCCUAGCAUCCUAUUUCAUCUUAAAGAAAAAAAAAAAAGAAAAAGAAAAAGAAAAGAGAAAUAGGAACAUAACUACUGCCUCUCAACAUUGUUCUGUGAAGAAGGUGUUUUGUGAAAUGUACUGGUUUUUGAAAGCAUUACAUUGCAUUUUGAUAGCAUUUGGUUUCUGAUUGUAACCAUUCACAUGACAUACUUCUCUAGAGUAUUGGACUUGAUGCCAUGAAAGAUUCUCAUUAAAGGUUAGCAGUGUAUAAACUGAAUGUAGAACAUAUUAAAUGGCUUAAAACUGGCUCACCAAUAAAUCUCAUGUAGUAAUUGCAAACAAGGAAUCAUCUUGCAAAAGAAGUGUAUUCAGCAGGGACCCUCCAGGGAUUUCCUGGCUCAAGUCCUUCCAUGAUUUUCAGUCUUUCAGAAGAACAUAUAAAAUCACUGCUAAUAAAGUUUGUGGAUGACAUAAAGGUGAGGAAAAAAAAAAAAAUAAGGACAGCUUAGUCCUGCAGGCUGAACAGAAUUGGCCUUUUCUGAUCAAAGCCUCUUUUGAUGCAGCCAGAUUCAUGGUCAUACACCCAGAAGAGGAGAAUUUAGGUCACACUUAGAUAAUUUAGGGGCUGCUUCCUGGUAGGCAGCAACCAUGAAGAAGGCACAUGGGUGGAUAACUCAUGGAUCACAGGGCCUUGGUGGGUUUUUCUCACUGAAAGGUUGACAGCUGUUUUUGUGAAUGUCUUCAGAAGUUUCUGGGAUCUGCUCCAUAUAUCUAGCACCAUGUGCCAGAGAUGUGAGACGGUCUGUGGAAGCCUGUGACCAAUAUCGCUGGGAAAACUCUGAGGAAACAGGUAUUGUUUGCAAAGACAAAAGUGGACAUCCCACUUAAAACUUGAAUUAGACCUGGUUAUUGUUUUUCCUUUUUUUUUAGUUCAUAUGUUUGUUCUGGAUAUGUAAUGUAACACUUGUGCAGAGGAGGGGGGAUGGAAACAAAUCCGUUCUUGACAUUGCGUGAUCUUAUAUUGUUCAGCAGUAGAUAAACACAAUCUCCAUCUCUAAUACUAACUAAGCCUGCAUGACUCUACGUACCAUUUUUUCCUUCUGUCUGUGAGCUCUGUUUGUAAUACCUGCUUUCCCCCUCUUUCCCGUGACUGUUCCCAACCCCAGUGUCUAGCUGCUGCACACAAAUCCAAAGCCUUGAGACAAACUGGCAGGAACUUCAAAGUCUGUCACAACCUGCUGUAGUCACAGGAUGGUGAGAGGAUGCUAAAACCAGCAGAGCAGUUGAGAUCUCCAUGGAUAUAGCUGUCUUCUGAGCACUGUGGCUGAGCAGUGGAAAUUGCACGGUGACCAUCCCUACUUCACUUUUAUUAGAUAUAAUCUGAGCACAGUCUAGAAAUUGUUCAGCUAGAGUUGAGUGUCCUUACAACUUACAGGUGUGUGGUGCUGCCUGGACAAGGAGAGGUCUGGUAUAGCAGCAGUGUAUCUGGUGAUAUUAAAUAAGAUUGUUUAAUAAAAGUAUAAUAAAAAAUGGUCCAGGUAUAAGAUAGGGUAGCGGUUCUGUUUUUACUGUCUCAUGAGGUAAGAAUGAUGAGAAUAAGAGAGGGGAAUUCAGCACUGAAAAAAAACAACUUUUUUUUUUCUCUGCCUCCCUAUAAUUAAACUGUGGAACAGAUUGCUACAGGUUGAUACUGCUGUAAUUUCUUGAGAAUGCAUGUUUGAAUUAUAUUGUGUUAGCUUCUGUAGUUAAUGCUCUGUUCUCCUGGUGUCCUUAUGUCUACGUAAUUGGGGAUAUUCAGAGUGCUUGCACUGACUGUUGUUGAAAAUGUUAUGAAAGGACAGAUUUCUUACGCUUCCUGCUUCAUAGCUUGGCCUAAUCUCCAGCCACUGGAGGGGCAGGAGGUGGCUGAGAAGAAAGCUUCUGUGAGGUAAGGUGCAGGCCAUGGCCAGGGCAUGGCAUUGGGCCACUGGACUUUGGUUCUAGAGCAGCAUCCUCAUUUCUAAGUUCUGGAUGUCCAAUCAGGCUCCCCUGGCCAUUUUCUGUGUCUUUGUGUGGCGGAAAGUAGCACAGUGUUUUUGAUUUCAACACUGUGCCACUGAUUUAUACCAUAUUUUGCCUAGUCAUAAGUGUAUUGACAUGGUGACUAUCCCUGUUUAUUCCUGUUCCAUCAGUCAAAUGUAUUAGUUCAUUUUCCUGAGAUCCUGGGGCAGUUUGCACUGAGCAUAUCUUUAAUCUUUGCUGUCUUAAAAAUAAAAUAUUCUUCACCCGAUAUUCAGGAAAAUGUAUUUUUUGUUGUUGUUGUUGUUUCUUCUUUUUUUCUUUUCCUUCCACUGGAGAUCGAAUAGGCGUCCUGUGAGCAGCAAGGCAGUGAAUUUUGCUCUUGCUGAGUGAGUUUUAUUCUUCAGGUGCUCACUUGCAAUUUGCAAGCACUUCUGAAAUAUCUUCUGGGAUGUGAGCUCUCCCUCCUCUGGAAGGCAUUCCUUUGAUUCCUUGUAUUGUGCAAAUGUUCUUGCAGGUGGCAAGCAUGCUGAAGAUAACUCUUUUGAUCCUUCAGAAUCAGCAUCCUCUUGUAAUCUUGUUUUCCAGCUUUGUAAAUAUUACCCACACACCUACAACUUAUUGUUGCUUUCACAUCUUCACUUUUACUACUUCAUUUCAAAUAGCGCCUUCUCCC